rnacentral:lncRNA from 1 species
UACGCUCCCGAAGUAUUUGUCCAGCAGCUCCACGUAGCGGUGGAUGAGCUCCAGGGUCAGCAGCUCAUUGUCAGCCCCCUCGAUGGCGCAGCAGAAGUACAGGCUGGCGUACCUUUUAUAGACCACCUUCAGCUCUCCCCACUCCAGGAAGCUGCACAUCUUGGGUUUCCGGGCCAGCACCGCCUGCAUCAGCUCCCGCGCCGCCUUCCGCUUGUCGCGCUCCGCCCCGGCCCGGUACCAUUGCUGCAGGCGCAGCUUCCCCUGCCGGCUGAACAGCAGCACGAAGCGCAGCAUGGCGCCGCCGCUGCUUCCGCUGCCAGCCCCGCUUCCGGUCUGCGCCCCCCGUCCACUUCCGGUGAACGCGGGGCGUCACUUCCGGCCGGGGGCGGGGCCGGCGCUGAUUGGCCCGCGCGGGGAAGGGCGCGUUGCCAUGGGAACGGCCGCGCGCGGCCUA